rnacentral:snoRNA from 1 species
GGGGUCUGUGAUGAUGCUGUUUCGGUGUUCGAGUCUUACGACCGUGAGAACACCCCAUCCAUGCACUACCAUCUGAGACUGC